rnacentral:piRNA from 1 species
UGGAAAAAAAGAAAAAAGCCAGAAGGUGGU